UACGUAGGGUGCGAGCGUUAAUCGGAAUUACUGGGCGUAAAGCGUGCGCAGGCGGUUUUGAAAGUCAGCUGUGAAAGCCCCGGGCUUAACCUGGGAAUGGCGGUUGAAACUACAGGACUAGAAUCUGGCAGAGGGGGGUGGAAUUCCACGUGUAGCAGUGAAAUGCGUAGAGAUGUGGAGGAACACCGAUGGCGAAGGCAGCCCCCUGGGCUGAGAUUGACGCUCAGGCACGAAAGCGUGGGGAGCAAACAGG
rnacentral:rRNA from 1 species